UGGCACCUGGGGAAACACAGAUGCAGUCGGUAUUGCUACUCCUGAGGAGCGAGUAGGUGCAGGGAAGGCGUGCUGGAGCCUCUGAACACUGCAGGGCAGUCCGAAGAGGAGCUGUGUUUGCAAGCAGAGUCCUGGGGAUGCAGUGAAUCUCACUGCUCUCUCUGAAGUAGGGUGUUCAUCUCUUCGGUGGAGCUCUGCUAGAAGACACUUUGUGGAGCAGAUUCCAAGGAAGGAUGUGGGCUUUGCUUUCUUCAUUUCUAUCCAUCUAGCUUUCAGAAGAAGCCCAGCAUCCUAGGCAGGUUCCUGGCUCUGUACGGCACCGGCAGAAGGCAAAUCGCUCUGUUGGGAACAGAAGGAGCCAACUUCUACCUCGCUCGGAUCCAUGGAGGGCCCACAAUCAGCAAUGCUGCCCUCAAGCAGGGAAAUCUCAUACUCUGGAGCUGAUGCUUGAUUUCAGAGAGACCCUACACCUGCUGAUGCAGCCAUAUUUCUUCCUGAUCCAACUAGAUUUUCCUCAGGUGCCUCUUCUGCAAGCAUUGCCUAAAUCCACCCUUCUUUGGGAAGACUUGAGUCAUCACUCAUAGGGAAAGGGAUGUAGAAAUGAAACUGAGUGCUAGGAUGUCAAAGCCAAAGUGCAUUUUUGAAUUUUUAGGUCAGGUUUGAUCACCAUUAUGU